rnacentral:lncRNA from 1 species
AUUCAAUCAAGCCCAAACUAAAUCUAAUUAAAUCAUAUUCAAUUAGACUUAAUCUCAACCUAUUGGUUUAAUCAAAUUAAGUCAAUUAGCAAUUGAAUUGCUAAUCAAUCUUGCUGCAACAUUUGCACUAGGUUAAAUGUCAAUCAUAUUGAUCAUUUAACCCUAGAAUGAUUCUUAACAUUGAUCAACCAUCCGAUCGGAUCGUGAACUCGAAUGUGUGAGAUCUCAUAGGUCUGAACCU